rnacentral:misc_RNA from 1 species
CAACGCCUCGCGGGAAGUGUCUCGGCUGCACCACGAGACAUCGCGUGACUCGCGUUCACCUCACACUCUCUACCGGCGCACACAACCACGCAACUUGUGAGCCGUCUUUCCACUCCCGUUUCAUUCUUCUAUUAUGCUCGGCAGCCCUCACUCCACCGGUGCAUACGGCAGCGCUGGCGAUGGCAUGGUCGCCGUGACUUCAAGCAGACUCAGGCAGCGCAGCGUUGUCUGCUGCGCUGCCCCGACAGUCACCGUGGAGGGGGCGACGCUCGACAAGCCGCGCGCCAAAGGCAAAGCCCGGUCGAGGUCUACCGUGUGCAUGGACCACCACAUCCUUUCCCGCAUGGAGGAUGACUUGCGGCGCUCCGCGAUGCGACAGGAAAAUCCUGAGUCGGCGAUUCCCGACCGCGGUCACGAGCACGACCAGAAAGUCUUCCUUGCUGUCGAGGCGUAUCGCGCGAUGAAGUCAACAUAGAGCGACCGCUCCGUCAUCGGCAGCCACCACCCCGUGUCCACCGGCAACGGCUUAUUGCCGGCCGGUACGGCACACUGCACCCUCUCCGGUUGCGGCCGUGUGAGCAACAGCCCAUCACGCACGUGGCACCGGUAGCGCGGCUAGCACGCCUGAAAGAGAGCAUUGCUCAAUGGCACCGGCCAGCCGCUGCAAGGGGAAGGGCGUACGUCGCGCAUGUCCAACCGGGGCGGCCAGGCGCGCGCGAGCCCGCACCGCUCGCCCUCGCGGCGUAAGGAGCCGAGCCUUGCACACCAGUCCCAGCAGCCCUAUCCGGCCGAUGGCCGGCUGGGGCCGAUCGAGUCAGCGUGCAAGACGCCGACACGAAAGCUGGAGGAGGACCACUGCUCCGGCGCUGCUGCCAGGAGCGCUUACAAGCUCAACAAGCAACUCUUCCGGAAGCUUCCCGGCCUAGAGAGGAGGGGCACUGGUGGCUGAUAGCCACGGACUGCGAGCGCGAGCGACGCCUCUGAUCAGCGGACGAGCUGGCCAGAUGCAGGGAGUCCGCAGGGCUUUGAGUGCAACGAUAAGAGUGAGGGAGACGAGAGGACGGAGAAGUUCGAUGUCCAUGUGUGCGUGUGAUGUGUGGGGGCCUACCAUGCGCGACGGAUGUGUAAUUCCACCCCCCCCCCCUCCCUCUCCCUCCCUGCCGCAUGCCUCGUCUGCGACCACCUCUUCCAUGCGUUGUGCUCACAUCUUUCCCGCUGCAUGGCCGUCGGCGCAGUGCGUCUUUGGUGUUUCGUGCAUGCCUUGGUUCGCCUCGAUGUUUCUUACCUUGCUAUUCUCUCUUGUUCGACAACUGCGAAUGUGUGCCUGCAUCUGCAUCUGUCUCUGUAUGCUUCUUGUGACGCUGCAGCGCUCGUCUCUCUCUCGUUCGCACGACUUUGAUCCUCAAUGAGCAGUUUCAUGUGCGUGAUGUCGACAUUUCUCGUGCUGUUGUUUGUCCAACUCCUUCCCGAAAUGGCUUUCCCUUUUUUUUUCUAUUCCAGUUCAGCAGCGCCACGCUACCACCCCCUCCACCAUGUACGUGGCCCCUCUCUUCAUGUAAGCAUUUGACCGGGAGACGGAAGGAAGAGGGUGUGUAAGUGUUCCGUGACCCAGUGAGCCUUCAUGCCACCACCCCACCCCCACCUUGCCUUCUUCAUCUUCUCUUCUUCAUUCGUCGCUUGCCGACAGGCAUGCGUGCAUGUGUAUGUACAUAGGUCCUGCGCGACUGCAGCAUCCACCGUGCUUGCAACGGCGUGGGCUCACAACGCAGAUGCUUCCUUUUCGUCCUCGCUUUCUUUUCCGGUUCUGUGUGCGUGCGCGUGUGCAGGCGGCAUCGCUGCCACGCCCGUGUGAUAUCACACGCACGCCGACGCGCGGACGCAUCCUUCUGUGAUAGGAUACCUUUGCUUGCUUGCUUUCUCUUUUUCACAUGCCCUCCCUGCUUAUUUCUGUCACUGUCACCCUGUGUGCGUGUGCU